ACUGAAGACGAUCUACAGGGCAAACCCCAACCCGAAGGGCACCGGCGAGAACUGGUCCAACGCGACGCAGCAGACAGGCCUCUGGGUCAGAAGUACUACUGGGUGUAACCUUAGCUGCACUCCUUUCUGGAGACUCCACAGGACCAUCCUUAGCUUGCCUUCGCCAGCUUCUGUCAACAUUCGUUGCCUUUGGCCCCUUCCUGCAUCUUCAAAGCCAGUGACGUGCCAUCUCCGACCCUUCCAUCCUCAAGUCUACCGCUGAUAGCAGCUGGAAAAGAUUCUGAGGGCUCACCUGAGCAAUCCAGGAUCAUCUUCCCAUUUCCAGGCCUCUGCCCUUGAUCACAUCAGCGGAAUCCUUUUGCCAUUGGCUAGAAGUGACCCCAGGAUUUUUUUUAUUAUCAAGAGAGACUAGAAGAAUCAUGAGACUUUUCCUAGUCGCCUUUCAAGAAUAUGAAGAAAAAAAUGGUUCUCAAAGUGGGUUUGAAUGAGUAUUGUUCAAAUAAAUGAACUUAUAUUCAUAUUUCA